GCAUGGUUCGAAAUUGAAAGGCGGCUUCGGCUGUCACUUAUGGAUGGACCCGCGUCGCAUUAGCUAGUUGGUGAGGUAACGCCUCACCAAGGCAGCGAUGCGUACCCGACCUGAGAGGGUGAUCGGCCACGCUGGGACUGAGACACGGCCCAGACUCCUGCGGGAGGCAGCAGUAGGGAAUCUUCCGCAAUGGACGAAAGUCUGCAGGAGCAACACCGCGUGAGUGAUGAAGGCUUUCGGGUCGUAAAACUCUGUUGUUAGGGAAGAACAAGUGCUAGUUGAAUAAGCUGGCACCUUGACGGUACCUACCCAGAAAGCCACGGCUAACUACGUGCCAGCAGCCGCGGUAAUACGUAGGUGGCGAGCGUUAUCCGGAAUUAUUGGGCGUAAAGCGCGCGCAGGUGGUUUCUUAAGUCUGAUGUGAAAGCCCACGGGUCAACCGUGGAGGGUCAUUGGAAACUGGGAGUCUUGAGUGCAGAAGAGGAAAGUGGAAUUCCAUGUGUAGCGGUGAAAUGCGUAGAGAUAUGGAGGCACACCAGUGGCGAAGGCGACUUUCUGGUCUGUAACUGACCCUGAGGCGCGAAAGCGUGGGGAGCAAACAGGAUUAGAUACCCUGGUAGUCCGCCCCGUAAACGAUGAGUGCUAAGUGUUAGAGGGUUUCCGCCCUUUAGACUGAAGUUAACGCAUUAAUCACUCCGCCUGGGGAGUACGCCCGCAAGGCUGAAACUCAAAG
rnacentral:rRNA from 1 species